GGUUUCGAAUGGUACCUUGUUUCGAAUGGUACUUACUCGUCUUGUGACUAAGUAAAAUAAAAGAUUGUUGCUUUUCAAGUGGUUAGGUCACCAAGGCGCGGGCGGCUCGCUACAUUCUGUAGUUCGUUCACUCCUUUCGAAAUCACUCGAAAGAGGAUUUACAGUCCCACGCAGCCUGCCAGAACCUUUUUCUUGCUUGAUUUUUAUACGAUUUUUUGAGCAACUAGCGCGAAA